UCUGUCUUUACCCAUUCAUUGUACAUGUAUAAGCAAGGAGGUUCCUCGGGCAAGUCAGCGGGAUUACUUGAAUUAAUGACAGCAACGCCUGUGGCCGAGCGGAAAAUCACGGGCGUUACCUCAGUGGGGAGCCGCUCCGACAGGUAGUGGAACGGUAGUGAGGUAAAUUAUUAACGUAGUAUGACAACGCGGCGGUUGAGUGCAUUCGUAUACUAUAAACUACGUGUGAGUAUCUAAAUGCUGUAAGAAAUGAUUAUUCGACAAUAGAAUAAAUGGUAAUAAAAAUGUAAUCGUUGCUUUAUGUUCCAUAUAACUUUCAAAACAACGAGAUGGAUAAUUAUAUAUACGUAAAUGUUGAGGAUAAUAUAGUCGUAGUAUUACACGCUGAAAUUGAAUGCAUGCAAAGAACAUAAAAUUAUCAAAUAUAUAAGAUUUCGUACUUCCUUGUAGUAUUCUAGAAUAUAGUACGAAACAUAAUGUGAUAAUGUUUGAAUAAAAGAAGA